rnacentral:lncRNA from 1 species
AUGGUCAAAAAAAAUCCUAUGGUAAACUUGUAUAUUUUUUGCUUCAUUGCAAUGGCAUCAUAGCACUUGUCCUUCUUCAUUUGUUCCAUGUCAUCCUUCACAUCUCUACUUCGGUCUUCAAUACUACUAAUUCAGCUUUCAUUCCCUCCACCACUUCCAUUAGAGGCAUUUGUACAGGUUCUACAUCCAACCAUUUCCAAUAUUUGCAUUUACCCUUCAACACAAAUAACUCAUAAGAAGAUUUCAAAUCAAGAAAAUGAAACAGAAAAUGAGAAAGAUUCAAGUGAAAUAGCUUACCUCAUUGCACACCAUGAAAUGUCUCCCUGGAUUCUUUUGGUGUUGUUGACGUUACAAUACGUGUAGGGAAACCACAAUCACAAGUUUUUGGAUAGUACACUGUUGAUUUCUUGCUUGAUCGAUUGAGGGACGAUGAGAAGCUGUAGGAGGAAGCCAUUAAGGAAUUAGGGCACAAUAAAGGAACCACAUACGCCCCUUUUUUAAUAACAUUAGCCCUACAUGCCACAUAGGAUCAAACUAACACGUAGAAUCGAUAAAUCCUUUGCAACCGGCAAAAAACAAUCGGAAGAAAAAAAUUUACACAAAUCAAUAAGUUAAAUGGCUAUUAGAACACAAAAAAACGUUUACCAAAUGUAGUAUGUUGUCUUCUCAAUCCCUUUAUUUUAAUAUAUUAGCUCUACUUUUAGAAUUAAUUACUAUUAACUUUUUGAAUGGACAAAGUACCUUUUCCACGUAAACACAGUGUGUGAUCCAUGUUUCCUUCUUCAGGCGCUGUAACGAAUUCC